rnacentral:lncRNA from 1 species
GCAAGGGUAACAUAGAAGGGAUAAUUUCCUCCAUUAUUAAUCAUCGCGGCAUGGUAACAACGGUGCAAAUAAAGGUAUUUUGAAAUAAAGGAUCCCUAGAAUUUUUGACACCUGAUUGACAGUUACCUUUAUUUCAAGAGGAGAUAAGAUCUCCUUCCAAAGAUGGUCACAUUGACCAAAGGUUGAUCCUUAUACCCACCAAACUAGUCGAUAAAGGCUUGGGGGUUGUGUGCCAUGUGUCUAUCGACAAAAAGUUUUUGUCUCUAGGUUUUAAGGGGAAAGUGAUGCAAAUUACAGAUUGACCCUCAGCUUGAUUCUUCGAUUCA